UACGUAGGGUGCAAGCGUUAAUCGGAAUUACUGGGCGUAAAGCGUACGCAGGCGGCUAUGUAAGACAGGUGUGAAAUCCCCGGGCCUAACCUGGGAACUGCAUUUGUGACUGCAUCGCUGGAGUGCGGCAGAGGGGGAUGGAAUUCCGCGUGUAGCAGUGAAAUGCGUAGAUAUGCGGAGGAACACCGAUGGCGAAGGCAAUCCCCUGGGCCUGCACUGACGCUCAUGCACGAAAGCGUGGGGAGCAAACAGG
rnacentral:rRNA from 1 species